rnacentral:rRNA from 1 species
UACAGAGGUCUCAAGCGUUGUUCGGAUUCAUUGGGCGUAAAGGGUGCGUAGGUGGCGCGCUAAGUCAGGUGUGAAAUUUCGGAGCUUAACUCCGAAACUGCAUUUGAUACUGGCGUGCUUGAGGACUGGAGAGGAGACUGGAAUUCAUGGUGUAGCAGUGAAAUGCGUAGAGAUCAUGAGGAAGACCAGGUGGCGAAGGCGGGGUCUCUGGACAGUUCCUGACAACUGAGGCACGAAGGCCAGGGGAGCAAACGGG